UAACACUGUCUGGUAACGAUGUUC
rnacentral:ncRNA from 4 species